GGGGAAUAUUGGACAAUGGGGGCAACCCUGAUCCAGCCAUGCCGCGUGAGUGAUGAAGGCCUUCGGGUUGUAAAGCUCUUUUGGCGGGGACGAUGAUGACGGUACCCGCAGAAUAAGCCCCGGCUAACUUCGUGCCAGCAGCCGCGGUAAGACGAAGGGGGCUAGCGUUGUUCGGAAUUACUGGGCGUAAAGCGAGUGUAGGUGGUUGUUCAAGUUGGAUGUGAAAGCCUUGAGCUCAACUCAAGAAAUGCAUUCAGGACUGAGCGACUAGAGGACCGGAGAGGAUAGUGGAAUUCCCAGUGUAGUGGUGAAAUACGUAGAGAUUGGGAAGAACACCAGUGGCGAAGGCGGCUAUCUGGACGGUUUCUGACACUAAGACUCGAAAGCGUGGGGAGCAAAC
rnacentral:rRNA from 1 species